CUUCUCCUUCAUAGUCUGCCCAUCCAUCCUUGAUGAUCUGCCUCCUCUGGUUGCGGUUGCGUCGUUUCCUCACCUGCUUAGAUUCUUCAACGAUAUAGUUAGGGUCAGUAAAAUAACGGCAUACCUUCUCGGAGGGGAAGUGCAUAUGGACUUCUCCGGUUCCAAUGUAGAUAAUUGCUUUAACGGUGCUGAGGAACGGUCUUCCAAGGAUGAUGGGUGGAUCAUACUCGUCUUCUCCCAUGUCAAUAACUUGAAAGUCUAUGUAGACAAAGUGAUCGUCUAUUUUGACUAGGACAUCAGUUACUAUUCCUUUAAACUCUUGAAAUGUCUGAUCUGCCAUCUAGAGCUGAAUGUAUGUUGGUCUUAGUGGCAUGGUCCCGAACAAGAGCCGAUAGGUGACUGCAGCC
rnacentral:lncRNA from 1 species